UACGGAGGGUGCGAGCAUUAAUCGGAUUUAUUGGGCGUAAAGGGCGCGUAGGCGGGAAUUUAAGUCAGAUGUGAAAUUUCAAGGCUCAACCUUGAGUGUGCAUUUGAAACUGGAUUUCUUGAGGGUAGGCGGAGAAAACGGAAUUCCACAAGUAGCGGUGAAAUGCGUAGAUAUGUGGAAGAACACCGGUGGCGAAAGCGGUUUUCUAGCUUAUUCCUGACGCUGAGUGCGCGAAAGCAAGGGGAUCAAACAGG
rnacentral:rRNA from 1 species